rnacentral:rRNA from 1 species
AUCGUCUACGGGAGGCAGCAGUGGGGAAUAUUGGGCAAUGGGCGCAAGCCUGACCCAGCAAUGCCGCGUGAAGGAAGAAGGCUCUCGGGUUGUAAACUUCUUUUAUCAGGGACGAAGGAUGUGACGGUACCUGAUGAAUAAGCUCCGGCUAACUACGUGCCAGCAGCCGCGGUAAUACGUAGGGAGCAAGCGUUAUCCGGAUUUACUGGGUGUAAAGGGCGCGUAGGCGGGAUGGCAAGUCAGAUGUGAAAACCACGGGCUCAACCUGUGGCCUGCAUUUGAAACUGUUUUUCUUGAGUACUGGA